UCUCUCCUCCUAGCCUGCACGCUCUCUCUCUCCUGUCAGAGCAUUUAUUGCGGACGUUUUUUCUCUUUCCUUCGUUUGAGAAAGAAAACGCCGUUCGGACGCACGUCCUCUCCAUUUCUAACCUUUCGAAUUUUUGAAUCUGAAAUUCUCUCUCCGCGCUCGUUCCCCUGCCGUCGCCGAGCAUCAAGCGGCCGUUCCCCUGCCGUCGCCGACGAACCACACUACGGCCGCAGCUACUCCGGUGCUCGCUCGCUUCUCUCUUCGGGCUCGUUGCUGCUCCGUCGUUCGUUCCGGCGUUCCCGGGGUCGCAGAUGCAGCACGCGGAGGAGAAGCAGGCCUCUUCGAGCUCCCCUCAACGUCGGCGAGCGUCGCCCGCCGAGCGAGACCCCCACACACCGGAAGGCUCGGAGGCGAGGUUGCUGGAGAAGCUGGGGCCGUACGCGAAACGCGACGCCGACGGCCCUCCACCUCCGCCGGUUGCCUCCGUCGGCGUCGGAGUCCGUCGCCCCCGACUCCGAUGCCGACGCCCCCUUCGCCUCCCUCUCGCGACCUCCGCUCCGCUCUCUCCCUCUUUCCUCUGCGGAGCGCCCUUACCACCUCCGCCGGUUGCCUCCGGGUUGAAUGGGACGGUGAGUGUGGACGAGUCCGUCGGUAAUGAUUUGUCUGCGAAGAAUCCUAAACUGUGCUGGUUUGUAUGAGCACAAAGGUUAUAAGAGCAAGUGCGAG
rnacentral:lncRNA from 1 species